AGUGAACGCUGGCGGUAGGCCUAACACAUGCAAGUCGAACGGCAGCACAGGAGAGCUUGCUCUCUGGGUGGCGAGUGGCGGACGGGUGAGGAAUACAUCGGAAUCUGCCCAGUCGUGGGGGAUAACGUAGGGAAACUUACGCUAAUACCGCAUACGACCUUCGGGUGAAAGAGGGGGAUCGCAAGACCUCUCGCGAUUGGAUCAGCCGAUGUCGGAUUAGCUAGGUGGCGGGGUAAUGUCACACCAAGGCGACGAUCCGUAGCUGGUCUGAGAGGAUGAUCAGCCACACUGGAACUGAGACACGGUCCAGACUCCUACGGGAGGCAGCAGUGGGGAAUAUUGGACAAUGGGCGCAAGCCUGAUCCAGCCAUACCGCGUGGGUGAAGAAGGCCUUCGGGUUGUAAAGCCCUUUUGUUGGGAAAGAAAUCGUUCAGGCUAAUACCCUGGGAGGAUGACGGUACCCAAAGAAUAAGCACCGGCUAACUUCGUG
rnacentral:rRNA from 1 species